rnacentral:rRNA from 1 species
UAAUGUCUGGGAAACUGCCUGAUGGAGGGGGAUAACUACUGGAAACGGUAGCUAAUACCGCAUAAUGUCGCAAGACCAAAGUGGGGGACCUUCGGGCCUCAUGCCAUCAGAUGUGCCCAGAUGGGAUUAGCUAGUAGGUGGGGUAACGGCUCACCUAGGCGACGAUCCCUAGCUGGUCUGAGAGGAUGCCAGCCACACUGGAACUGAGACACGGUCCAG